rnacentral:lncRNA from 1 species
CAAAUGUAAAUAAACAAAUCACAUGAGAGUCCACACAUAGCAGCUGCUGUUCCAGAGUAUGGGCCAGCCUCAUCCCACCCAUACUCUGCUUCUGGCCGCUAACAAGAUGGCGCCUGUGUUUGGAAUAGCCACAGGUCCGUUUCCACAUUCCCGCCUGGCCACAGGGCAGCGCUGUGUCUCCGUCCAUGUUUCCUCGGGUCUGUUUAUCCUGGAUCUUCAGUGGUUUCCCUUCCUGUUCCCUCCAUGAGUGGACUUAGGGAUUUUAUCAAUAACCCAAUACCUGCAGCUGGAGAGAGAGGAGAGACAACAAGCAGACAAGUCACCAAACUGCAAUCAGGGGCAGAAGCUCAAGGCAACUGCCCCGAGUUUCUGCUCUCAGAGUUUAUUUAUAACAAAGAUAAGACUGUGAGAGAGACAGUAGCCAAGUUUACAUGCGCCAAAUUCCCUCAAUCCGAUUGAAAUCUUGGUUGAUCGGAAUUUCCCAAUCUCUAUUCACAUGGACACGAACUGAAAUGAUCCAAUCAUGCCAAGCGUACAUAUGCACCAAGCAUUUGAUCCGAUUAAAUAGGUUGAGCAUGUACAGAGAGUUGCCUUUCCCGAAAGAAAAUUUGUAAACAGUCGCCAUGAAACGAAAUGAAAAAUGUAAAAACAGAAAUAACAAUUCUUCCUGCUUUCCUGAUUCAUUUAUUCAAUUUAAUAUUUUUAUUUAACUCAUAGAAGUUACGUUUUCUUCAGUGAAUAACUGCAGAUAUAUGCUUUGCUGCAUUUUAUUGUUGAUUAAAAUAAAGGGAGGGUUAUGUUUCUGCCUCUUGAUCAGCUGGUCCGCGGGUCAUGUUUAAAAAAGUGGGCUCGACUCCGUACGUACUUGCGUGCCUGCCGGGGCCCUACGCACGGAUGGAUAAUGGCGUUGCGUGUCUCCGCACUGUUGCAGACGGAGAAGCAUGACUCACGCUUCACUGUUAUCACAAGCUGCUGAUCUAGCAGCAUGAUGCUCAUUAUUAUUUUAUGGGUUACAGACGAGUGUUGAUGCUCUGUGUUUGUAUUUCUGCAGCGAGCCUUACAAUCUCACCUCUUUCCACCCACAGUUUCGUCUUAAACACGUAUUACAUUUACUGUUUUGACGCAUUUUAACGAGCCCCCUCCGCGCCGUGAUUUCGUUGUUGGAUACAAACUUUACAGCACUCUCACAAAGUAAAUGUUUGGCAGAUAUGUUUGUUUACAUUUUUUCCACUGCGCGUCUACAGUGUUAAGCCUGAGUCAUGCUUCUCCGUCUGCAUCAGUGCAGAGACACGCAACACCAUUAUCCGUCCUUGCGUAGGGCCCCGGCAGGCACGCAAGUACGCACGGAGUCUGGCCCACUUUUUUAAACAUCCGUCCAUUGAGACGGAGAAUGCAAGCUUGUGAUUGGUCAGAACGCCGCUGUUGUUUACACCGCCGCCAUUGCGCCCUCAGAAACAUAAAGAGAGCCGAGGAUAACUAGCGGCAGACACGAAAGAAGCUUGAAGAAUACCUCGCGAAAAAACUCUAAAAUAUGAACGUUUAAUUCCCCCGUGACUGGAGGAGUGAAAAGAUGCGUAGCAAGCAUUUUAUUUGAGGACGGAAAUAACAGGAAACGGGGUUUAGAGGUGGUGAGCGCAUGAAGAGGUGGAGGAGAAUGAGGGACAAAUUUUUCUUUGUUAAAAAGUCUCAUAUACAAAAAAAAAAACACAAUAUAAACACACUAUCUUGGACCAGAUACAUGACAGGAUACCACAGAACAGCGCUACGCCCUCUGUUGUCCUGGUGGGGAAUUGCUUUGCAACACUCCCCAGGAGACGGAGAAGUAUGAAAGCAAAACGCUUCCGUCAAUCCGUGCGUGUCUGUCCCUUGCGGAGCUGACGGAGAAGCAUGAAUCAGGCUUUAGGGAAAGGAAGGGAGGGCCUGACGUGAUGCUGCAGUCAGGGUAUCUCUAUGCUCCACAGUAGCAGCGACGGAUGGCUGGUUUGACCGGCUCUGAGAGGCGCUAAUCAGAAUUUGCAGAUAGCGUCAUAGUUAUUUGUUAAAGUAAUGCAUUACCAUAAAUAGUAAUGUGUUUACCAACAUUGGUUAUGUAUAUUACUGAUUGCAAAAACACCCCUAGGUAUUUUGUCUUGUCUUUUUACUGAAUAUUUUUAUUUUAUAUAUUUCUGCUUGGUUCACUGCAGUUUCAAGGAAGAGAGAAGAGACGGAUGAGAAACCUCUGCUCU